UCCCUGGUAGUAUAUCGGUUAGUACACGCGCCUGUCAUAAAUGUCAAAAGGGUGUUGCCGCGCGAAAGCUGGGUUCGACUCCCAGCCAGGGAG